rnacentral:tRNA from 1 species
CUGUGGCUCAGUGGUAGAACAUCUGCUUCGCGCGUAGAGAGUCCUAGGUUCAAUCUCUUGUUAAAAGG